AUAUAUAUAUAUAUAUAUAUGUUCUUAUCAGUUUAAUAUCUGAUAUGUCCCCUAUCUGGGGACCAUAUAUUAAAUUGAUUUUUGGAACAGGGAGAUGGAAUAGGGGCUCGCUCCGUCCACUCCACGCACCGACCUGGUAUUGCAGUACCUCCAGGAACGGUCCACCACGU
rnacentral:snRNA from 1 species